GUGCUCGCAUCGGCAGCACAUAUGCUAAAAUUGGAGUGAUACGAGAAGAUUAGCAUGGUCCCUGAACAAGGAUGACAAACAAAUUCAUGAAGGGUUCCCUAUUUUU
ensembl:snRNA U6 U6 spliceosomal RNA